CUACGGGAUGCUGCAGUGAGGAAUAUUGCACAAUGGGGGGAACCCUGAUGCAGCAACGCCGCGUGGAGGAUGACGCAUUUCGGUGUGUAAACUCCUUUUAUAUGUCAAGAAAAUGACGGUAGCAUAUGAAUAAGCACCGGCUAACUCCGUGCCAGCAGCCGCGGUAAUACGGAGGGUGCAAGCGUUACUCGGAAUCACUGGGCGUAAAGGACGCGUAGGCGGGUUGGAAAGUCAGGUGUGAAAUCCUACAGCUUAACUGUAGAACUGCACUUGAAACUUCUAAUCUAGAGUAUGGGAGGGGGAGAUGGAAUUAGUGGUGUAGGGGUAAAAUCCGUAGAUAUCACUAGGAAUGCCUAAAGCGAAGGCGAUCUCCUGGAACAUUACUGACGCUAAGGCGUGAAAGCGUGGGGAGCAAACAGGAUUAGAUACCCCUGUAGUC
rnacentral:rRNA from 1 species